UAGGGAAUCUUCCGCAAUGGACGCAAGUCUGACGGAGCAACGCCGCGUGAGUGAAGAAGGAUUUCGGUUCGUAAAACUCUGUUGUUAGAGAAGAACAGCGCAUAGAGUAACUGUUAUGCGUGUGACGGUAUCUAACCAGAAAGCCACGGCUAACUACGUGCCAGCAGCCGCGGUAAUACGUAGGUGGCAAGCGUUGUCCGGAUUUAUUGGGCGUAAAGCGAGUGCAGGCGGUCAAUUAAGUCUGAUGUGAAAGCCCCCGGCUCAAGCGGGGAGGGUCAUUGGAAACUGGUUGACUUGAGUGCAGAAGAGGAGAGUGGAAUUCCAUGUGUAGCGGUGAAAUGCGUAGAUAUAUGGAGGAACACCAGUGGCGAAGGCGACUCUCUGGUCUGUAACUGACGCUGAGGCUCGAAAGCGUGGGUAGCAAACAGG
rnacentral:rRNA from 1 species